rnacentral:lncRNA from 1 species
CCAAUUUUCAAAGUUUUGUUGCGAGAGUAUUAGAUCUUAGGUUUAAUGUACGUAAGGUUUAUACUAGGCGAGUUCUUUAUAUUGUGUAGUUAUCCCUUCACCUUCGUAGAGACUAACUCGGUUCAUUACGCAUCAAUUUGGGUGGCAUUCGACGCAUUUCUGUCCGGAAAAAUGUUUUCGUUUUUCUCUAGGUGGCUUUGCGUCGCCUACUCGCCUACCAUCCGUGCUCUUUUUUUCCUCCGGGUCUCUUGUAAUCCCGUGCAAGGGAGACACAGUUGAUUUAUCUUUGCGCUGGCUUGAUUUGUAGAUUCUGACCCUUGACUUUUAACGUUUUCCUUUAACGAUUGAAUUUGUUUAUAGAUGUGGAACCUUGUUUAUU